GUUAGGAAUAUUGGACAAUGGGCGCAAGCCUGAUCCAGCCAUGCCGCGUGAACGAUGAAGGCCUUCGGGUUGUAAAGUUCUUUAGCCGAUGAUUAUAAUGACUGUAGUCGGAAAAUAAGCCCCGGCUAACUUCGUGCCAGCAGCCGCGGUAAUACGAAGGGGGCGAGCGUUAUUCGGAAUCACUGGGCGUAAAGCGUGCGUAGGCGGUUUUGUAAGUUAGGAGUGAAAGCCCAGGGCUCAACCUUGGAAUUGCUCUUAAAACUGCAAGGCUCGAAUCUCGGAGAGGAUAGCGGAAUUACCAGUGUAGCAGUGAAAUGCGUAGAUAUUGGAAGGAACACCAGUGGCGUAAGCGGCUAUCUGGACGAGUAUUGACGCUGAGGCACGAAAGCGUGGGGAUCAAACAGGAUUAGAAACCCGUGUAGUCC
rnacentral:rRNA from 1 species